UAGGGAAUCUUCCGCAAUGGGCGAAAGCCUGACGGAGCAACGCCGCGUGAGUGAUGAAGGUCUUCGGAUCGUAAAACUCUGUUAUUAGGGAAGAACAAAUGUGUAAGUAACUAUGCACGUCUUGACGGUACCUAAUCAGAAAGCCACGGCUACCUACGUGCCAGCAGCCGCGGUAAUACGUAGGUGGCAAGCGUUAUCCGGAAUUAUUGGGCGUAAAGCGCGCGUAGGCGGUUUUUUAAGUCUGAUGUGAAAGCCCACGGCUCAACCGUGGAGGGUCAUUGGAAACUGGAAAACUGGAGUGCAGAAGAGGAAAGUGGAAUGCCAGGUGUAGCGGUGAAAUGCGCAGAGAUAUGGAGGAACACCAGUGGCGAAGGCGACUUUCUGGUCUGUAACUGACGCUGAUGUGCGAAAGCGUGGGGAUCAAACAGG
rnacentral:rRNA from 1 species